CUUUCUUUACCUUCACUUUGGCUGGCUUAGCCUUCUCCUUCACAGGUUCUGCUUUAGCCUUCUCCUUCACAGGUUCUGGCUUAGCUUUCUCCUUUACAGCUUCUGGCUUAGCCUUCUCCUUUACAGCUUCUGGCUUACCCUUCUUUACAGCUUCUGGCUUAGUCUUCUUUACAGGGGUGGGUUCUGCUUUAGCCUUCUCCUUUGCAGGGUCUGGCUUAGUCUUCUUUACAGGGGUGGGUUCUGCUUUAGCCUUCUCCUUUGCAGGUUCUGCUUUAGCCUUCUCCUUCACAGGUUCUGCUUUAGCCUUCUCCUUUGCAGGGUCUGGCUUAGUCUUCUUUACAGGGGUGGGUUCUGCUUUAGCCUUCUCCUUUGCAGGUUCUGCUUUAGCCUUCUCCUUCACAGGUUCUGCUUUAGCCUUCUCCUUCACAGCUUCUGGCUUAGUCUUCUUUACAGGGGUGGGUUCUGCUUUAGCCUUCUCCUUUGCAGGGUCUGGUUUAGCUUCAUCCUUUACAGGUGCAGGUUCUGGCUUAGCCUUCCUUACAGGGGUGGGUUCUGCUUUAGCCUUCUCCUUUGCAGGUUCUGCUUUAGCCUUCUCCUUCACAGCUUCUGGCUUAGUCUUCUUUACAGGGGUGGGUUCUGCUUUAGCCUUCUCCUUUGCAGGUUCUGGUUUAGCUUCAUCCUUUACAGGUGCAGGUUCUGGCUUAGCCUUCCUUACAGGGGUGGGUUCUGCUUUAGCCUUCUCCUUUGCAGGUUCUGCUUUAGCCUUCUCCUUCACAGCUUCUGGCUUAGUCUUCUUUACAGGGGUGGGUUCUGCUUUAGCCUUCUCCUUUGCAGGUUCUGGUUUAGCUUCAUCCUUUACAGGUGCAGGUUCUGGCUUAGCCUUCCUUACAGGGGUGGGUUCUGCUUUAGCCUUCUCCUUUGCAGGUUCUGCUUUAGCCUUCUCCUUCACAGGGGUGGGUUCUAGCUUAGCAUUCUCCUUCACAGGUACAGGCUUAGCCUUUUCUUUCAAAGGUGCAGCCUUGUCUUCCUCCUUCACAGGUACAGGCUUAGCCUUUUCUUUCAAAGGUGCAGCCUUGUCUUCCUCCUUCACAGGUACAGGCUUAGCUUUUUCUUUCAAAGGUGCAGCCUUGUCUUCCUCCUUCACAGGAACAGGCUUAGCUUUUUCUUUAGUUGGUUCUGGUCUAGCUUUCGCUUUAGGGAGCUCUGGCUUAACUUUCUCCUUAGCAGGCUCUGGCUUGGCUUUUUCCUUUACAGGCUCAGGCUUUGCUUUCUCCUUCAUGGUUUCUGGUUUAGCUUUUUCCUUAACAGCUUCUGGCUUUACCUUCUCUUUAGCAGGUUCUUUUUUAGCUUUGUCCUUCACAGGUUCUGCCUCAGCUUUCUCCUUCAUGGGUACUGGCUUAGCUUUUUCUUUUGCAGGUGCAGGUUCUGGUUUAGUCUUCUCUACUGCUGGUUCUGGCUCAGUUUUCUCCUUCAGAGCUUCUUUCUUAGCCUUUUCUUUCAGGGUCUUCAUUUUCUCCUUCACUGGUUCUGGCUUAACCUCCUCCCUUGUGGGCACUGGCUUUGCAGUUUCUUUUACAGUUAUUUUCUUAGCGGUUUCCUUUCCAGGUUCAAGCUUAAGUUCUUCCUUUUUGGGCUUAGGCUCAGCUUUCUCCUUCACAGGUUCUGGUGUAGCCUUCUCUUUUACAAGUUCUUCCUUAGCUCUCUCCUUUUUGGGCUCUGGCUUUGCCUUCUCUGCAAUGGGCUUUGGUUUGGCCUUGUCCUUAGGAGAUUCUGGCCUAGGUUUCUCCUCCUUGAAUUCUACCAUAGCUUCUUCCUUAUCGGUAGUAGGUUCUGGUUUAGCCUUCUCCUUUACGGAUUCUAGCUUGGCUUUCUGCUUUUCUGGUUCUGGCUUAGUCUUCUCCGUAAUGGGUUCUUGCUUAGGUUUCUCUUUUUCAGAUUUUGGCUUAGCUUUUUCCUUUACCGAUGCAGGCUCUGGCUUAGCUUUUACCUUUACCGAUGCAGGCUCUGGCUUAGCUUGCACCUUUACCGAUGCAGGCUCUGGCUUAGGUUCUUCUUUUACAGAUGCAGGCUCUGGCUUAGCUUUUUCCUUUACCGAUGCAGGCUCUGGCUUAGCUUGCACCUUUACCGAUGCAGGCUCUGGCUUAGCUUUUUCCUUUACCGAUGCAGGCUCUGGCUUAGCUUUUUCCUUUACCGAUGCAGGCUCUGGCUUAGCUUGCACCUUUACCGAUGCAGGCUCUGGCUUAGCUUUUUCCUUUACCGAUGCAGGCUUAGGUUCUUCUUUUACAGGUUCUGGUUUAUCUUUUUCCUUCACAGGUACAGGUGGAGGUGCAGGUUCUGAAUU
ensembl:lncRNA